GUCGAGAAUCUUUCACAAUGGGGGCAACCCUGAUGGAGCGACGCCGCGUGGAGGAUAAGGUCUUCGGAUUGUAAACUCCUGUCAUGCGUGAACAAGGUUGCUUGGUUAAUACCUGGGCAAAUUGAUGGUAACGCAAGAGGAAGAGACGGCUAACUCUGUGCCAGCAGCCGCGGUAAUACAGAGGUCUCAAGCGUUGUUCGGAAUCACUGGGCGUAAAGGGUGCGUAGGUGGCGUGGUAAGUCAGAUGUGAAAGCCCGGGGAUCAACCUCGGAACUGCAUCCGAUACUGCCAUGCUAGAGUACUGGAGAGGUGACUAGAAUUCUCGGUGUAGCAGUGAAAUGCGUAGAUAUCGAGAGGAAUACCAAAGGCGUAGGCAGGUCACUGGACAGUUACUGACACUGAGGCACGAAGGCCAGGGGAGCGAACGGGAUUAGAUACCCGAGUAGUCC
rnacentral:rRNA from 1 species